GAGUUUGAUCAUGGCUCAGGAUGAACGCUGGCGGCGUGCCUAACACAUGCAAGUCGAGCGAUUUACUUCGGUAAAGAGCGGCGGACGGGUGAGUAACGCGUGGGUAACCUGCCUCAUACACAUGGAUAACGUACCGAAAGGUAUGCUAAUACAGGAUAAUAUAAGAGAUUCACAUGGAUUUCUUAUCAAAGCUCCGGCGGUAUGAGAUGGACCCGCGUCUGAUUAGCUAGUUGGUAAGGUAAUGGCUUACCAAGGCGACGAUCAGUAGCCGACCUGAGAGGGUGAUCGGCCACAUUGGAACUGAGACACGGUCCAAACUCCUACGGGAGGCAGCAGUGGGGAAUAUUGCACAAUGGGCGAAAGCCUGAUGCAGCAACGCCGCGUGAGUGAUGAAGGCCUUCGGGUCGUAAAACUCUGUCCUCAAGGAAGAUAAUGACGGUACUUGAAGAGGAAGCCCCGGCUAACUACGUGCCAGCAGCCGCGGUAAUAC
rnacentral:rRNA from 1 species